UGGGGAAUAUUGCACAAUGGGCGAAAGCCUGAUGCAGCAACGCCGCGUGAGUGCUGAAGGCCUUCGGGUUGUAAAGCUCUGUCUUCUGGGACGAUAAUGAAGGUACCAGAGGAGGAAGCCACGGCUAACUACGUGCCAGCAGACGCGGUACUACGUAGGUGGCAAGCGUUGUCCGGAUUUAUUGGGCGUAUAGGAUGCGUAGGUGGGCUUAUAAGUCAGUGGUGAAAUCUCCGAGCUUAACUUGGAAACUGCCGUUGAUACUAUAGGUCUUGAAUUAUCUGGAGGUAAGCGGAAUAUGUCAUGUAGCGGUGAAAUGCUUAGAUAUGACGUAGAACACCAAUUGCGAAGGCAGCUUACUACAUCGAAAUUGACGCUGAGGCACG
rnacentral:rRNA from 1 species